AAUGAACUCCCUCCAUUCUGAAUUACUUGUCGCAGGUAUGGAUCUAUCUAUAUGUAUUUUAGUUCAAGAUACAUCCAUUUCUGCGACGAGUAAUUUGGAACGGAGGGAGUACCUC
rnacentral:pre_miRNA from 1 species